UGGAAUCUUGCGCAAUGGGCGAAAGCCUGACGCAGCCAUGCCGCGUGGAUGAUGAAGGUCUUAGGAUUGUAAAAUCCUUUCAGCGGGGACGAUAAUGACGGUACCCGCAGAAGAAGCCCCGGCUAACUUCGUGCCAGCAGCCGCGGUAAUACGAAGGGGGCUAGCGUUGCUCGGAAUUACUGGGCGUAAAGGGCGCGUAGGCGGACAGUUCAGUCGGGGGUGAAAGCCCGGGGCUCAACCUCGGAAUUGCCUUCGAUACUGGCUGUCUUGAGUAUGAGAGAGGUGUGUGGAACUCCGAGUGUAGAGGUGAAAUUCGUAGAUAUUCGGAAGAACACCAGUGGCGAAGGCGACACACUGGCUCAUUACUGACGCUGAGGCGCGAAAGCGUGGGGAGCAAACA
rnacentral:rRNA from 1 species